rnacentral:tRNA from 1 species
GGUGUUGUGGCUCAGUGGGUAGAGCACUUACCUGGCACAGGCAAGGUACUGGGUUUGAUUCUCAGCACCA